UUUUAUUCCAUUUUCCUCUAAGUCUGUUAUCUUCAAGGAUUUCUGUUAGAAUUGGUACCUGAAGAGAGUGAAUAAAUUUUUUACAUUUGCUGUAAUUUUUUUCAAAGCGUUAGUGCAUAACAAACCUACUACAAUAGAAAAUGUCUUUAAAGAAUAGUAGUUUGCUUGCAGACCGAGCAGCCCCUGAGGUAAGGCAGUCAAGGCUUCUGUCACAGCAAGAGAUGCUGCUGUAUUUACUGAAAUAUAGAUGAUCCUGUAAGAAACUUUUAACUAUUUAGGAUAAAUAAUUGCCUGUAAGCUGUUGUAAUGUGGUUUUAAGGACUGCUUUUCACAGCGCAGAGUCCCAAAGUACUGCAUUGUGACAGUAAUUCCGGGCAGAUUCGGAAUGGAUCGGCUCACCUUGGGAUUUGGAAUGUGUUGGUUGUGGAGAGCCUCUCUGAGCUCACGAGGAUGUUUUCUUGAUGGUUAUGGCUGCAGGGAUUCUCACUGCUUGGAAAACAUGAGGACGGGGACCAAGAAUCUUUUCGCUCAGUCUUCUGAGGAAAGUUUGGUUCGGGUACAAAAAGAAAGCAAGGAGAGGGGCAAGCUCCAUCCCAUCGCACAAAUGAUCUCUACGUGGAGCUGGAAGAGUAACAAGGGCUCAGUGCUGAAAAACAUCAGCAGGAGGGGAGUGUUCUGUAGAGGGGAGCAACAGAGGAGGAGAAUGGCUGAAGCCACAGCCUUGUGAAAUAAUCCGGUUCCUGAAGGUUGGCACACCAGUGGUGUAUCCGAUCAUGUCCAUCUACAAAAGAGUGUCCUCUUGUAAUUCUUAAGAAGGUGAGGCACUUGAAAACCAAACUUCUUUCAGUUUUUUUUUCACUGCAAAUAAACCUUCCUUUUCCUUUAUUCCUGUGAGGGUA
rnacentral:lncRNA from 1 species